rnacentral:rRNA from 1 species
ACGCUCGACACCUACGGGAGACAGCAGUGGGGAAUAUUGCACAAUGGGGGAAACCCUGAUGCAGCGACGCCGCGUGGAGGAAGAAGGUCUUCGGAUUGUAAACUCCUGUUGUUGGGGAAAAAGAGGAUGGUACCCAACAAGGAAGUGACGGCUAACUACGUGCCGGCAGCCGCGGUAAUCUGAGCGGGCUGGCAAGGC